rnacentral:lncRNA from 1 species
UAGUUUUCUUUGGUUUUAGCUGACUGGCGUUGAAGAAGGCGGAGCAACUGCGUUCUCCGAAUUAGAUGUAUCGGUUGCACCAGAAGCGGGUAAAGCGGUGUUUUGGUAUAACCUGCAUCCAGAUGGCGAAAGAAAUUAUUUGACUGCACACGGAGCAUGCCCAGUUAUUUCCGGUGACAAAUGGGUGGGAAAUAUUUGGAUACGAGAGCAAGGACAGGAAUUUACUAGACCUUGCAAACUUGACGAUUUAAAAUGGACAUAGCAAAAAUAGAAUAUUACAAUGAUUGGAAUCCAAUACUUUCAGCCAGAGUAACAGAGUGCGCCAUUCAAGACAAUUAAUUUUGAUAAUGGCUUGUACAAUAGUGUGCUCGAAGGAAAAGAUACGGAGAUUGGACAAAAUACUGGUGCUUGACGUAUUCAUCAAAUUCAGGCACCUAUUCAUAUUUACUAAAUACAUCUACAUUUUACAUCCUGCGUUUACAUUUUUAUGCUUUACCUGCUAUCAAUAGCUGUGUAUAUCAGACUUAAAAUAUUUUGUGUUGGUUUCAAAACACCAGACAUUUUGUAAUUUAUAGCAAAGUCUGUUAGAAACAGAUACAUUGUGUAUGUAAAUGAAAUAAUCACUGAUAGGCUUUAUUUA